UCUAAAGUUUCAUCAUAAACCUUAUAUAACAUAUAUUCAAUAUCAUUAUUUGAUAUUAGGUCUAAGGUAGUAACAAUGACUUGUAGUGUGUGGCAGUAAAGUGCAGUAGAUGCAAAUUAACAUCAUCAUAGAUAAGUAGAUAAACAUCAUUACACAUGAUAUGGAUUUGAAGGACUGUGUUAUUUUGAAUGAGGCAAAAAGAACUUAUUUACAUUUAUUACCAGUUGCUUAUCGAAGAUCGAUUCUGAAAGAUUUCAAUCGGAAAUACAACAUCCAGAGAUGUCCGCAAUUCUAAAGAAUCGCAUUUGGGUUAUAUUAUCAAUGAACUACAUUCCACUGACCUCAGCAAUAAUAAAAACAGUUAUUGGAAUUUAGGUGAACGAAAUCAAUUAUGUCAUACACAUAUUAAAUGUCAAUUAAAAAAACCAAGAAUAACUUUUUUGAAAA